rnacentral:rRNA from 1 species
CCAAAUUGAUUUUAUGCUUGCAUAAAUGAUUUUUGGAUUCGGAGCGAGUGGCGAACUGGUGAGUAACACGUGGGUAACCUGCCCCGAAGCGGGGGAUAACAUUUGGAAACAAGUGCUAAUACCGCAUAAUUAGUUGGAACCGCAUGGUUCCAACUUGAAAGAUGGCUCUGCUAUCACUUUGGGAUGGACCCGCGCCGUAUUAGUUAGUUGGUGAGAUAAAAGCCCACCAAGACGAUGAUACGUAGCCGACCUGAGAGGGUAAUCGGCCACAUUGGGACUGAGACACGGCCCAGACUCCUACGGGAGGCAGCAGUAGGGAAUCUUCCACAAUGGACGAAAGUCUGAUGGAGCAACGCCGCGUGAGUGAUGAAGGUUUUCGGAUCGUAAAACUCUGUUGUUAAAGAAGAACAAGUGUUAGAGUAACUGUUAACACUUUGACGGUAUUUAACCAGAAAGCCACGGCUAACUACGUGCCAGCAGCCGCGGUAAUACGUAGGUGGCAAGCGUUGUCCGGAUUUAUUGGGCGUAAAGCGAGCGCAGGCGGUUUUGUAAGUCUGCUGUGAAAGCCCUCAGCUCAACUGAGGAAGUGCAGUGGAAACUACAAAACUUGAGUACAGAAGAGGAAAGUGGAACUCCAUGUGUAGCGGUGAAAUGCGUAGAUAUAUGGAAGAACACCAGUGGCGAAGGCGGCUUUCUGGUCUGUUACUGACGCUGASGCUCGAAAGCAUGGGUASCSAACAGGAWUAGAUACCCUGGKAGUCCAUGCCGUAAACGAUGAAUACUASGUGUUCGGAGGGUUUCCGCCCCUUCRGUGSCGGCAGCYRACGCWUUAAGUACUUCCGCCUGGGGAGYACGACCGCRAUGGUUKMAAMUCAUAAGGAAKUCGRCGGGSGCCCCGCACAAGUGGUGGAGCAUGUGGUUUAAUUCGAUGCUACGCGAAGAACCUUACCAGCUCUUGACAUCUUCUGCCAACCCAAGAGAUUGGGCGUUCCCUUCGGGGACAGAAUGACAGGUGGUGCAUGGUUGUCGUCAGCUCGUGUCGUGAGAUGUUGGGUUAAGUCCCGCAACGAGCGCAACCCUUAUUAUUAGUUGCCAGCAUUUAGUUGGGCACUCUAGUGAGACUGCCGGUGAUAAACCGGAGGAAGGUGGGGACGACGUCAAAUCAUCAUGCCCCUUAUGAGCUGGGCUACACACGUGCUACAAUGGAUGGUACAACGAGUCGCGAAACCGCGAGGUCAAGCUAAUCUCUUAAAGCCAUUCUCAGUUCGGAUUGCAGGCUGCAACUCGCCUGCAUGAAGUUGGAAUCACUAGUAAUCGUGGAUCAGCAUGCCACGGUGAAUACGUUCCCGGGCCUUGUACACACCGCCCGUCACACCAUGAGAGUUUGUAACACCCAAAGACGAUGG